GAUGAAGAACGCAGCGAAAUGCGAUAAUUAAUGUGAAUUGCAGAAUUCCGUGAAUCAUCGAGUUUUUGAACGCAUAUUGCGCCCCUUGGUAUUCCGAGGGGCAUGCCUGUCCGAGCGUCAUUGCAACCCUUCAAGCACGGCUUGUGUGUUGGACGGCCGCCCCAGUGUGGGCGGGUCCCAAAUGCAGUGGCGGCGCCGCGAUCCGGGUGCUCGAGUGCAUGGAAACCACGCGCUCGUUAGGCCCCGUCGGGCGCCGGCCGACCUAAUUAUCUUCGUUCUGGUUGACCUCGGAUCAGGUAGGAAUACCCGCUGAACUUAAGCAUAUCAAUAAGCGGAGGA
rnacentral:misc_RNA from 1 species